GUUGAUAUAUAGCAUCAAAAAUACAUAAAUAACAUCUACAACAUCAAAGAGCAUCCAAAAAAGAUAUAAAUCCAUCAUGACAUUGUUUUUCAUUACUUAGCCAGCUAUUGGGAAAACAACAGAUAUUUUUUUGCAAAAGCUUUUCUUCACAUUACAUUGGAAAUAUGGUAAGCAACACCAUAAGAACCUUUUUUUCCCGAUUUGUUUGAUAACUUUUUCCCCUCAAAACCCACAAAUCUAAUGUAUAAUACUGUUGUAAUCCCUUAAUUAGUGCAUU
rnacentral:misc_RNA from 1 species